AUUGAACGCUGGCGGCAGACCUAACACAUGCAAGUCGAACGAGUGGCGGACGGGUGAGUAAUGUCUGGGAAACUGCCAGAUGGAAGGGGAUAACUACUGGAAACGGUAGCUAAUACCGCAUACCAUCGGAUGGUCCCACAUGGGAUUAGCUAGUAGGUGGGGUAAUGGCUCACCUCGGCGACGAUCCCUAGCUGGUGGGAGAGGAUGACCAGCCACACUGGAACUGAGACACGGUCCAGACUCCUACGGGAGGCAGCAGUGGGGAAUAUUGCAAAAUGGGCGCAAGCCUGAUGCAGCCAUGCCGCGUGGAUGAAGAAGGCCUUCGGGUUGUAAAGGACUUUCAGCGAGGAGGCGUUACUCGCAGAAGAAGCACCGGCUAACUCCGUGCCAGCAGCCGCGGUAAUUC
rnacentral:rRNA from 1 species